rnacentral:misc_RNA from 1 species
GUUGAAGAACGCAGCGAACUGCGAUAAGUAAUGUGAAUUGCAGAAUUCAGUGAAUCAUCGAGUCUUUGAACGCACAUUGCGCCCCCUGGCAUUCCGGGGGGCAUGCCUGUCCGAGCGUCAUUGCUGCCCUUCAAGCCCGGCUUGUGUGUUGGGUCGUCGUCCCCCCCGGGGGACGGGCCCGAAAGGCAGCGGCGGCACCGCGUCCGGUCCUCGAGCGUAUGGGGCUUUGUCACCCGCUCGAUUAGGGCCGGCCGGGCGCCAGCCGGCGUCUCCAACCUUCUAUUUUACCAGGUUGACCUCGGAUCAGGUAGGGAUACCCGCUGAACUUAAGCAUAUCAAUAAGCGGAGA